rnacentral:lncRNA from 1 species
UAUAAAGGAGAGUGGUGAGGAAGCGUGUAAGGAGCUAAUGGAGGCGUUUGCUGCCUGUGUGAAGAGCAAUGCUGAGGCAUCAUGAGGAGCUCAACAUGCAGGAAAAGGGUUUACUGCACUGAGUCCUCCACCUUCCCAGCAUUCCCUGCAGCUCAUGGCACUGGACUAAAUGAUGGGGUUUGGGGCAGCAGAGACUAUAUUUGUGUCUCUUCCCUUCUCUACCCCCCUGUGAACCUCAAAUGGAUUUCUCCAACCACCAUCCUCCCCUCCCCGUUUGUGGCUGAUUGUAUUGAUCUGUAGAGUUUGAGUGUUGAUGUAAAUGAUGCAUCUCAGAUGCUUUCAAAAUGGAAUAAAGAUUUUAAAAAUGGUUCAACAUUUGUAACUAACUGAAUUUGUUUCACAAUGUUUGUUUUAGUUUUAAAGUAAACUCAUUAAAAAUGGCUUUCAUUAACUUGUUUAGCAGAUCCCGUCUUGCCAAAAGUGCCGUCUGAUAAGUCCCUGUGGUUUUAUUUAGAUACAAGUUCAAAACUUUAAGGUGGAUGUAGUGAAGUGGAUUGUAGGCAAGGAUUAUGCAGGCUUCUGUAAUGGGUUUAGGUGAACUAAAGUAGGAGAUUAAGCUUUCCAAUGUCACUACUCUAAACACCUUACUUUGUCUCAUUAAGAGGCACAUAAAUACACCCACUCAAAUCCCCAAAUGCACUUAUCUCAUCAGGCAAUCAAUCAAUCAGAUCUUAGGCUCUUUCAUGAGCUGAUCUAUUAGCAAACAAGCUAGAAGUGUUAAGACUUGUAACCAAGAAUAAAAAUCCUCAGGGUUUGGACUAUGCUCACACAUUGCAACACAAUGCUUUGGGUCAUUUAAACUGUAUAAAACAAGAUAUCCAAGCUAAUUAUCAAUGCAAAAGCCUUGUCACACCGAUUUUAACGCUUGCAUAAGCAGAGAGAACAGUUGGAUGAUGAUGUCUCAAUGAAUCAUUGAUCAAAUGUGAUCAUCUUCAUGCAACGAUCUCAAUCUAACUAUUUUUUAAACCUGUUCAGAGCACUGGAG